rnacentral:rRNA from 1 species
GAAUUUCUGGUGUAGCGGUGAAAUGCGUAGAGAUCAGAAGGAACACCAAUGGCGAAGGCAACAUUCUGGACCGAUACUGACACUGAGGGACGAAAGCGUGGGGAUCAAACAGGAUUAGAUACCCUGGUAGUCCAUGCUGUAAACGAUGAGUACUAGCUGUUGGAGUCGGUGUAAAGGCUUUAGUGGCGCAGCUAACGCGAUAAGUACUCCGCCUGGGGACUACGGCCGCAAGGCUAAAACUCAAAGGAAUUGACGGGGACCCGCACAAGCGGUGGAGCAUGUGGUUUAAUUCGAUGCAACGCGAAGAACCUUACCUGGUCUUGACAUCCUGCGAGCUUUCUAGAGAUAGAUUGGUGCCUUCGGGAACGCAGUGACAGGUGCUGCACGGCUGUUGUCAGCUCGUGUUGUGAAAUGUUGGGUUAAGUCCCGCAACGAGCGCAACCCCUAUUGAUAGUUACCAUCAUUAAGUUGGGUACUCUAUUGAGACUGCCGCUGACAAGGCGGAGGAAGGUGGGGACGACGUCAAGUCAUCAUGGCCCUUACGACCAGGGCUACACACGUGCUACAAUGGGUAUUACAGAGGGCUGCGAAGGAGCGAUCUGGAGCGAAACUCAAAAAGGUACUCUUAGUCCGGAUUGCAGUCUGCAACUCGACUGCAUGAAGUCGGAAUCGCUAGUAAUCGCAGGUCAGAAUACUGCGGUGAAUACGUUCCCGGGUCUUGUACACACCGCCCGUCACACCAUGGGAGU